GAUGAACGCUGGCGGCGUGCCUAAUACAUGCAAGUCGAGCGAACAGACGAGGAGCUUGCUCCUCUGACGUUAGCGGCGGACGGGUGAGUAACACGUGGAUAACCUACCUAUAAGACUGGGAUAACUUCGGGAAACCGGAGCUAAUACCGGAUAAUAUAUUGCACCGCAUGGUUCAAUAGUGAAAGACGGUUUUGCUGUCACUUAUAGAUGGAUCCGCGCCGCAUUAGCUAGUUGGUAAGGUAACGGCUUACCACGGCAACGAUGCGUAGACGACCUGAGAGGGUGAUCGGCCACACUGGAAGUGAGACACGGUCCAGACUCCUACGGGAGGCAGCAGUAGGGAAUCGUCCGCAAUGGGCGAAAGCCUGACGGAGCAACGCCGCGUGAGUGAUGAAGGUCUUCGGAUCGUAAAACUCUGUUAUUAGGGAAGAACAGAUGUGUAAGUAACUAUGCACGUCUUGACGGUACCUAAUCAGAAAGCCACGGCUAACUACGUG
rnacentral:rRNA from 1 species